CGGCAGACGGGUGAGUAACGCGUGGGAACAUACCUUUUGGUUCGGAACAACACAGGGAAACUAGAGCUAAUACCGGAUAAGUGCGAGAGCAGAAAGAUUUAUCGCCGAAGGAUCGGCCCGCGUCUGAUUAGCUAGUUGGUGAGGUAACGGCUCACCAAGGCGACGAUCAGUAGCUGGUCUGAGAGGAUGACCAGCCACAUUGGGACUGAGACACGGCCCAA
rnacentral:rRNA from 1 species